AUUGAACGCUGGCGGCAGGCUUAACACAUGCAAGUCGAGCGAGCGGCGGACGGGUGAGUAAUGUCUGGGAAACUGCCUGAUGGGGGGGGAUAACUACUGGAAACGGUAGCUAAUACCGCAUACCCUCAGAUGUGCCCAAGGGGGAUUAGCUAGUAGGGGGGGUAAUGGCUCACCUAGGCUACGAUCCCUAGCUGGUCUGAGAGGAUGACCAGCCACACUGGAACUGAGACACGGUCCAGACUCCUCCGGGAGACAGACGUGGGGAAUAUUGCACAAUGGGCGAAAGCCUGAUGCAGCCAUGCCGCGUGUGUGAAGAAGGACUUCGGGUUGUAAAGCACUUUCAGCGAGGAGGCGUUACCCGCAGAAGAAGCACCGGCUAACUCCGUGCCAGCAGCCGCGGUAAUUC
rnacentral:rRNA from 1 species